rnacentral:rRNA from 1 species
UCCUCCCUCUUUCUUCGUGCUUAACACAUGCAAGUCGAACGGAAAGGCCCUGCUUUUGUGGGGUGCUCGAGUGGCGAACGGGUGAGUAACACGUGAGUAACCUGCCCUUGACUUUGGGAUAACUUCAGGAAACUGGGGCUAAUACCGGAUAGGAGCUCCUGCUGCAUGGUGGGGGUUGGAAAGUUUCGGCGGUUGGGGAUGGACUCGCGGCUUAUCAGCUUGUUGGUGGGGUAGUGGCUUACCAAGGCUUUGCAGGGUAGCCGGCCUGAGAGGGUGACCGGCCACAUUGGGACUGAGAUACGGCCCAGACUCCUACGGGAGGCAGCAGUGGGGAAUAUUGCACAAUGGGCGGAAGCCUGAUGCAGCAACGCCGCGUGCGGGAUGACGGCCUUCGGGCUGUAAACCGCUUUCGCCUGUGACGAAGCGUGAGUGACGGUAAUGGGUAAAGAAGCACCGGCUAACUACGUG